AGGAUGAACGCUGGCGGUCUGCCUAACACAUGCAAGUCGAACGAGACCUUUCGGGGUCUAGUGGCGCACGGGUGCGUAACGCGUGGGAAUCUGCCCCUUGGUUCGGAAUAACAGUUAGAAAUGACUGCUAAUACCGGAUGACGACGUAAGUCCAAAGAUUUAUCGCCGAGGGAUGAGCCCGCGUAGGAUUAGCUAGUUGGUGAGGUAAUGGCUCACCAAGGCGACGAUCCUUAGCUGGUCUGAGAGGAUGAUCAGCCACACUGGGACUGAGACACGGCCCAGACUCCUACGGGAGGCAGCAGUGGGGAAUAUUGGACAAUGGGCGAAAGCCUGAUCCAGCAAUGCCGCGUGAGUGAUGAAGGCCUUAGGGUUGUAAAGCUCUUUUACCAGGGAUGAUAAUGACAGUACCUGGAGAAUAAGCUCCGGCUAACUCCGUGCCAGCAGCCGC
rnacentral:rRNA from 1 species